CCAGAUGUUUACAUGAAAGUAAAACCAGAUGAUUUCCUCCUCCACACAGAUACAGAGUCUGUCUGCACCUUCUACACAAAGCCUAUAAGGUGGGACAGGCAUGAGGGGCAGCCAGUGACCCCUCACACACGUCCUUAUGCUGAUAUCCAGGGCAGCUGUGGUCCAGCCAUCCCAUACACCCAGUUCCUCUGGUGAGGGGGGAAAGGGCCCAGUUGAUCCCUGCUCCGGUUCCCAGGCCGGCUGAACCUCUGCUAGUCCCUGCACCCGUACCUGUUCUUCCGGUAGGGACAGCAGCUGCCCAGCGGUCGCCGGUGCCUGUUCCGGUUCCCAGGGUGAGGCUAGCCAGGACACAGCCUACCUCUGCACCCGUACCUACUCCGCGGGUGGGAUCAGCUAGUGCCCAGCAAGCCCCUGCACCUGUUUCUGACCCCGCUGGAGGCUCAGAGGGCCCCGUUCAGCCACACCGUCUGGUCCUGCCUCACCUCGUCCUGUUCGUCCUUCAGCGUCGCCGCCGUUGCUUUUCGCACGGUCGGCCUCCUGACCUAAAAUGUUUUUCGACUGUUGUGCUGUCGACCUCCAGGCCGGCCCCCUGAACCUUUUCGAGACUGUUACCUGGGCCCCUGCGCCUUUCAUGGACUUUUUGUUUGUUUCAUUUUGAACUGUUCCCAGGCCUCAGUGCUGUUGGUCUCUGGCUCCUUGUUUUUGGUUUGUCUCGAACUAUGUGUUGGUGUGCCUGGGUCAUUGACCCAGAGUUUUGAGUUUUCAUUAUUAUAGUACUUUGGUUUUUGCCUUUAUUUAUCAUUUCUAGUCUUUUGGUUUCUUUGUCAGAGUUGUGCCUUCUGGGUUCUGUUCUGUUCCAUAGUUGCUGUCUCCCUGUGUCAAGUCUGCAUCUCUGUGUUAUGUUUCCUGUUUUACUUUGAAGGACCAUGUCUUAUGUUAAUGUGUCUGGUUUUGCUUCCCCUGUUUCAUUAGGCCUGAUUUGCCCCAGCUGUGUUUCCCUCCUGUUACCCAUUCCCUGACUGCUCCCUCUGUGUAUUUAAUCCUUGUGUUUCCCUGUGUCAGUGUCGCGAUCUACCCUCAUUCAUGUUGUGUGUUCUGUCUGCCUGCGUAAGUUUAUUUUGUAUUUUAGUUCAGCCAGUUUUCUGUUUUGUCGUCCAGCAUUAAAGCUGUAUUUAACUUCACCUUUUGCUUCCGUCAGUGUGCAUUUUGGGUCCUUUUCCUGCCUGCACACAGCCUUCACAUGGCACUAUGAUCUUGUCUUUAUUUUUAGUUAGCACUUACCUUAAACACUUCAAGCUGUAAGCUAAUGAUAGUUAUAUAAGAGCAGACGCAUGCUGAUGCAAUAAGCUGUACGUUUUAUGUCCAAUUGCUGCAUAAAAAAAUAAUGUGUGACUAGUCGACUAUCAAAAUAAUCAUUUGUGACGGCCCUAAUAACAACUAUGCAUUCAGAAUUUUCCCCUAUACAGUAUUAUACUAAACAACAGUAAACUGGUCUGUUUCCUGGCAUCAUCUGAUGUUUUUGUAAAAUCUUUGGUUCUGUUGUUCUGUUUUUCUGCUGCUCUCUGUAAAAUUAUUCAAAGACAGUUUUGGUAAUGAGCUGGAUUAGAUCCUAGAAAUAUGUCACUGCAACCCUUUAAAUAUGUGUUAUAAAACCCUCCACUCUUUACUGUUUUAUCUU
ensembl:lncRNA